ACAGAAGGUAAUAGUCCUGUAUGUUAAACGAGAAGACUUCAGAUAUGAUCCAGAGUACCACGGGACACGUGAAACCCUGUGGGAAGCAGGAGGGACCCCCCUCCAAGGCUAAAUACUACCUAGUGACCGAUAGCGUAUAGUACCGUGAGGGAAAGGUGAAAAGAACCCCGGGAGGGGAGUGAAAUAGAACCUGAAACCCUGCACUUACAAGCUGUGGAAGCACAUU
rnacentral:rRNA from 1 species